CACGUAAGCCCCGAGCGUUGUUCGGAAUCAUUGGGCGUAAAGGGCGCGUAGGCGGCCGCUCAAGCCCGGAGUGAAAGGCGGGGGCCCAACCCCCGGACUGCUCCGGGAACUGGGCGGCUGGAGUCGCCGAGGGGGAGCCGGAAUUCCUGGUGUAGGGGUGAAAUCUGUAGAUAUCAGGAAGAACACCGAUGGCGAAGGCAGGCUUCCAGCGGACGACUGACGCUGAGGCGCGAAGGCGCGGGGAGCGAACAGG
rnacentral:rRNA from 1 species